UCGAACGGUGAAGCGGGUGCUUGCACUCGUGGAUCAGUGGCGAACGGGUGAGUAACACGUGAGUAACCUGCCCUCCACUCUGGGAUAAGCGCUGGAAACGGCGUCUAAUACUGGAUACGACCGACCCUCGCAUGGGGGUGUUGGUGGAAAGAUUUAUCGGUGGUGGAUGGACUCGCGGCCUAUCAGCUUGUUGGUGGGGUAACGGCCUACCAAGGCGACGACGGGUAGCCGGCCUGAGAGGGCGACCGGCCACACUGGGACUGAGACACGGCCCAGACUCC
rnacentral:rRNA from 1 species